rnacentral:lncRNA from 1 species
AGACGAGGUAGUGGUGCCAAGGUGUGUGCCCCACGGUCAAGGUCAGAGCAGCUGCUUUCAGGUUCAGCCCAACAAAAGGAUGAAAGGGAGCGAGGCUGGUUCCAGGUGAGAAACUUCGGGGCCACUCCUCCGGCCAGGCUCAAGGUACUUGCUCAAUGCCUCUGGGCCCACCUGCCUGCAGCCCCAGUGGCCAUGGGCCGAGGAGAACAGCCAGCAGGUACACCACGGGACAGAGGGAGGGCCAAGGCCAUUCACUCUCUCGGAGCCCUAGCUGCUGGGAAGAUGCGUCAGCAGACUUAACCCUCCAACAGCGCCCAACACAACUGACCGCUCCUUUUCUUCUUGAAACGUUUUCUGCCUUUGGAUUCAAGACACAACCAGCCCAUGGUUUCCUCCUGUCCCUAAAGAUACUCUGCUCUCUCUCUUUUGCUGGCACAUCCUCGCCCACCCAGCCAACCACCGGGAGAGCCGCGGCACCCACCCCGGGUCCUCCUCUCUUACUGAGCUCUAACUCAAGGGGUGUUACGCAAUCAGCCCUACCGCCAAUGUGUCGCUGACUCACAGAUUCAUGUCUCCAGCCCCGGAGGGAGAGCCCCCAACCCUUGUACCCAAGGCCAUCGUGUCCUAAACAGACCCCCUAACGCCUCAAGCACACCUGGCCCUCUUCCUGGAUCUGCCAUCUCGGGAGGCACCAGUAGCAUCCACUUCACAAAACAGAAGCCUGGUUUUCAACCCUUCCUUUCCCUCAUGCCCCUGUUGAGUCUGUCACCUGUGCCAUGGACUUCAGUCCCUGGUUAUCUCUCAAACCGACCCACUUCUUGGCACCCCCGCUGGCAUCGGCUUCACCUCUUCCCUGUGCAAUGCAACCAUGCUCGCCACUUGCCACGUGCCCACUCCUGGCCCCUUCACCCCCUCUGCCCACAGCAGCGCGAGUCCUCUUUAAACACACGGAUCACACCACCUUCUGCUUCACACGCUCCAACAGCAGCGUCCCAAGGCUCUUGGGAGAAAGACGUUAACAUGGCUCCUUAUGGCCUUUCCUCCUUUGUCUCAGCCACACCGGUAGUGCCACCCGCCUCCACACAGUUUUGCACAGGCUCCUGCUCUGCCCAGAAGGCCCUCACCCCUCCACACGGAGCUGGCCUGCUCAUCCUUGGAGCUCAGCUCAAACAUCAGUUCCCCGGGGAAGCCCCGGCCCACAUCUUUGGCCUGUUCUCAGAGGAUGGGGGUCCUCCCCCUCAGACCGCUGGUCUCUUGUCAUACUGCCACACGGAUGUACCUGCCUGACUGACACCUGCUCUCCCAGCCCUCUUUCCUCUCUCCCCUCUCACAACUUUAAGCUCCCUGAAGACAGGCACUGUACUCUCUUGCGCAUCUCUAGUCGACUUUGCACUUAUAAAGAUGUCUCAGCAGCUCAAGAGAGCUGAGCCCAGCCCCAGCGGAGCCGGCGGUGGAGAGGCAUUUUAGACCUGGACACCGGGAGCUUGGCCCUGGGCCUGGCUGUGAGGUGAGGGGGUCAUGGACAGCUGAGCCCCGUGCAGCUUCACCCUGGAACCCUGCAAACAGGCUUUGCAGCUGACUGCUCAAGAGGCCGGCCCGUGACAGCCAUAAAAAUGAGGACAGCAGUUUCGAGCACCAAACCCUGCAGAUAUCUUCGUGGCAAUGCUUUUGGAUUUACAUGAUGGGGCCAGCACUUAAUUCAGAGCCGAGUGCCAGCAGAAACAGAUGGCAAGACUGAAGGGUGGAGAAGGAGAAACUAGGAGCCCACCAGACCACUUCCCCUGAGUGCUAAGACUUCAAGGAUUAUCGUGGAAGCCUCUUGCUUUGGAAGGAUUGUGGGGACAUUACUUCUGCAGAAACAGAGAGGAAGCAAGAGAUGAAAGCCACAAAGGGGCAUUGAAGGCACCUGGGCAGAGCUGGAGGAACUCCGGGGAAUCACUCUGAGCUUUCCCAAUGCCAGGAGUGCCAGGACUUAUAACAGACGCUGGGCCGUAAGCAGCGGGUGUUGGGUUACAAGGAGAAGGCAGAGCCACGCCCUGACUGGAAGGAAUGCCCAGCCUGGCGAGGGGGUGGAAAACUCCACAAACUACCUCGAUACACGUAGCAGGUGCUAUUAUAAAAGUCACUGUCCAAUUAAAGAGGAACCUGCUUCUUACCCAUUAGGAGAAACAGCAAGGGCGGGUGAGGCUGUGGAGAGAUGGGAAACUUGCGCACUGCUGGUGGGAACGGAAAACGGUGUGGCGGUAUCUCACAAAGUUAAAGAGUUACUAUGUGAUCCAGCAAUUUCACCUGUAAGUACACACCGAAAAGAAUUGAAGGCAGGGAGUCAUACAGAUAUUUGUACGUGCCCAUUCCUAACGGCAUUAUUCAUGACAGCCAAAAGGUGAAAGAACACAAGUGUCCGUCAACAGAUGGAUGGCUAAACAAAAUGUGGCCCAUACAUGCAAUGGAAUAUUACUCAGUCUUCAAAAGGAAGGAAAUUCCGACACAUGCUACAAUAUGGAUGAAACCUGAAGACAUUAUACUAAGUGAAAUAAGCCAAUUACAAAGAGGUAAAUAUAUCAUCAAUAAAUGAAUAUAUUCCACUCAUAUGAGGUUCCCAGGGUAGUUAAAUUCAGAGAUAGAAAGUGGACUGGUGGUUGCCAAGGGCUGGGGAGAGGGGAAGGGGGAGUUGCUGUUUAACGGGGACAGAGUUCCGUUUGAGGAAGACGAAGUUUCUGCAGGUGGAUGGUGGUGAUGGUUGCACAAUGGGAAAGAACUUAAUGCCACUGAACUGCACAGUUAAAAAUAGUUGAAAC